rnacentral:rRNA from 1 species
AACGUAGGACGCAAGCGUUAUCCGGAGUUACUGGGCGUAAAGGGCGGGCAGGCGGUCUGUCAAGUGGGGUGUGAAAGCUCCCGGCUUAACCGGGAGAGGCCAUUCCAGACUGACAGACUGGAGGGCAGGAGAGGUAGGCGGAAUUCCCGGUGUAGCGGUGAAAUGCGUAGAUAUCGAGAGGAACACCUGCGGCGAAGGCGGGUUGCUGGGCUGACACUGACGCUGAUUGUGCGAAAGCUAGGGGAGCGAACGGG